rnacentral:rRNA from 1 species
GACGAACCGAGCGAACGUUGUUCGGAAUAACUGGGCUUAAAGGGCGCGUAGGUGGGCCGCCAAGUUCGAGGUGAAAUCCUCCGGCUCAACCGGAGAACUGCCUCGAAUACUGGAGGCCUCGAGGCGGGUAGGGGCACGCGGAACUGUGGGUGGGGCGGUGAAAUGCGUUGAUAUCCACAGGAACUCCGGUGGCGAAGGCGGCGUGCUGGACCCGAUCUGACGCUGAGGCGCGAAAGCCAGGGGAGCAAACGGG